ensembl:lncRNA
GUUUUUAGUCGCUGAGUGUUCCAGCAGGGGUCGGUGCUGCUGCAGUGGAGCAGGAGCUGAGUUUUCCAGCAGGAGCUGAGUGUUCCAGCAGGGGUCAGUGGUGCUGCAGCUGAGCAGGAGCUGAGUGUUCCAGCAGGGGUCGGUGGUGCUGCAGCUGAGCAGGAGCUGAGUGUUCCAGCAGGGGUCGGUGGUGCUGCAGUGGAGCAGGAGCUGAGUGUUCCAGCAGGGGUCGGUGGUGCUGCAGUGGCGCAGGGGCUGAGUGUUCCAGCAGGGGUCGGUGGUGCUGCAGCGGAGCAGGAGCUGAGUGUUCCAGCAGGGGUCGGUGGUGCUGCAGCUGAGCAGGAGCUGAGUGUUCCAGCAGGGGUCGGUGGUGCUGCAGUGGAGCAGGAGCUGACUGGUGCUGCAGGAGCUGAGUGUUCCAGCAGGGGUCGUUGGUGCUGCAGUGGAGCAGGAGCUGAGUGUUCCAGCAGGAGCUGAGUGUUCCAGCAGGGGUCGGUGGUGCUGCAGCUG